UAACAGAAGCUUCCCACCUGCUCGAUGU
rnacentral:sRNA from 1 species